UUGAAAGGAAAGGAUAAGCUACUCGAAUAGUUAGAUAAACGUAUGAAAGUGUUGCCAAAAUUACAAAAAUUUACAACGUUGGUAGACCCGUAAUUAAUGAUAUCAAAACAAAAACAUGUAAUUGAAAAUUAUCCAGGUGUUUCAGGAAGAAGCAGAAAAACUUUAAUGCACGUGAAAAAUAAUAAAAAGUAACAAAUCAGAGGUCCUUGUGCUGGAAAAUAGAAGAUUAUAGCGAAAGUGACGAUGCGGAACCUUUCUAUUGAAUUAUACGGAGAGUUCGUUCCGUUUUUCAGUUUCAGGCCAUACUGAAGAACGUGUUUUCUUCUUUACGUGCAUCGUUUUCAAUCAAUGUACGCACCAUUCCUUUCGAUAACUUUUCGCCUUCCGUGUGGUAAUUUCGUCAUGCCAUCGGUGCACAAGUGCUUAGUCUUCCGAGGAAAAGAAACGUUCCAGUUCGUUUUUCCAAAGAAUGAUAAGUUCUUGUCGUUGAGGUAGUUUUAUAACAAGCGAGACAAGCGAUAGUCUGAGCGUGCAAGAUCGUGAAAAUAUGUUACACGCGAUAAAAUAUCCUAUGCAAGUUGCGUCAUCAUUUUUGUCGUGUGCCGAUUGACGCAUUUGGUCUCGCGUUGCUUGGUGAACCAUGUUCGAAUUUGUGCCAGAUCGACAAGAAAUAAGUUGUUCCAAAAAUGUUCGUUUCACAUUCGACUGUUAAUUAAUCGACAAUACCAGGCUCGACCGAUUGAAUUGUGGUUAAGGAUCAUUGUCUAAACUCGGAUCCAUCUGGCUAAGAAAAACGGAACGAACUUUAUGUUCGGCCCAAUAUUUCUAACAAAUGUUUAUGGCGUUAGAAGCGUUAGUUUGAGGCAUAUACAGACUGUAACUCAACGUACUUCAAUUUAUUAACAAAAUUUGAUUU